AACGAACGCUGGCGGCGUGCCUAACACAUGCAAGUCGAGCGAGAAAGUCCCUUCGGGGGCGAGUAGAGCGGCGGACGGGUGAGUAAUACAUGGGUAAUCUACCUUCGAGAUCGGGAUAACCCUGCGAAAGCGGAGCUAAUACCGGAUAAGACCACAUAGCCAAGGCUACGGGGUAAAAGGUGGCUUGUAUUCGUACACGCUAUCACUUGAGGAUGGGCCCAUGGCCUAUCAGCUUGUUGGUGAGGUAAGAGCUCACCAAGGCUAUGACGGGUAGCUGGUCUGAGAGGACGACCAGCCACACUGGGACUGAGACACGGCCCAGACUCCUACGGGAGGCAG
rnacentral:rRNA from 1 species